ACUGUGUGUUGUUGGGUAGGGGAGCGUUCUGUAAGCCUGUGAAGGUGUGUCGUGAGGCAUGCUGGAGGUAUCAGAAGUGCGAAUGCUGACAUAAGUAACGAUAAAGCGGGUGAAAAGCCCGCUCGCCGGAAGACCAAGGGUUCCUGUCCAACGUUAAUCGGGGCAGGGUGAGUCGACCCCUAAGGCGAGGCCGAAAGGCGUAGUCGAUGGGAAACGGGUUAAUAUUCCCGUACUUGGUGUUACUGCGAAGGGGGGACGGAGAAGGCUAUGUUGGCCGGGCGACGGUUGUCCCGGUUUAAGCGUGUAGGUGUGUGUUCCAGGUAAAUCCGGUUCACUUUAACACUGAGGCGUGACGACGAGGCACUACGGUGCUGAAGCAACAAAUGCCCUGCUUCCAGGAAAAGCCUCUAAGCAUCAGGUAACAUCAAAUCGUACCCCAAACCGACACAGGUGGUCAGGUAGAGAAUACCAAGGCGCUUGAGAGAACUCGGGUGAAGGAACUAGGCAAAAUGGUGCCGUAACUUCGGGAGAAGGCACGCUGACACGUAGGUGAAGUGAUUUACUCAUGGAGCUGAAGUCAGUCGAAGAUACCAGCUGGCUGCAACUGUUUAUUAAAAACACAGCACUGUGCAAACACGAAAGUGGACGUAUACGGUGUGACGCCUGCCCGGUGCCGGAAGGUUAAUUGAUGGGGUCAGCGCAAGCGAAGCUCCUGAUCGAAGCCCCGGUAAACGGCGGCCGUAACUAUAACGGUCCUAAGGUAGCGAAAUUCCUUGUCGGGUAAGUUCCGACCUGCACGAAUGGCGUAAUGAUGGCCAGGCUGUCUCCACCCGAGACUCAGUGAAAUUGAACUCGCUGUGAAGAUGCAGUGUACCCGCGGCAAGACGGAAAGACCCCGUGAACCUUUACUAUAGCUUGACACUGAACAUUGAGCCUUGAUGUGUAGGAUAGGUGGGAGGCUUUGAAGCGUGGACGCCAGUCUGCGUGGAGCCGACCUUGAAAUACCACCCUUUAAUGUUUGAUGUUCUAACGUGGACCCGU
rnacentral:rRNA from 1 species